UGCCCUACGGGAGGCAGCAGUAGGGAAUCUUCCACAAUGGGCGAAAGCCUGAUGGAGCAACGCCGCGUGGGUGAAGAAGGUCUUCGGAUCGUAAAACCCUGUUGUUAGAGAAGAAAGUGCGUGAGAGUAACUGUUCACGUUUCGACGGUAUCUAACCAGAAAGCCACGGCUAACUACGUGCCAGUAGCCGCGGCAAUACGUAGGUGGCAAGCGUUAUCCGGAUUUAUUGGGCGUAAAGAGAACGCAGGCGGACUUUUAAGUCUGAUGUGAAAGCCUUCGGCUUACCCGGUGUAGUGCUUUGGAAA
rnacentral:rRNA from 1 species